rnacentral:rRNA from 1 species
UGGGGAAUAUUGCACAAUGGGCGCAAGCCUGAUGCAGCCAUGCCGCGUGUAUGAAGAAGGCCUUCGGGUUGUAAAGUACUUUCAGUCGGGAGGAAGGUGUCAAGGUUAAUAACCUUGGCAAUUGACGUUACCGACAGAAGAAGCACCGGCUAACUCCGUGCCAGCAGCCGCGGUAAUACGGAGGGUGCAAGCGUUAAUCGGAAUUACUGGGCGUAAAGCGCACGCAGGCGGUUGAUUGAGUCAGAUGUGAAAUCCCCGGGCUUAACCCGGGAAUUGCAUCUGAUACUGGACAGCUAGAGUCUUGUAGAGGGGGGUAGAAUUCCAUGUGUAGCGGUGAAAUGCGUAGAGAUGUGGAGGAAUACCGGUGGCGAAGGCGGCCCCCUGGACAAAGACUGACGCUCAGGUGCGAAAGCGUGGGGAGCAAACAGG